ACUCCGCGUCCUAUCCUGAAAACCGUCGUCCCACUUCCCCCGAGCGCCAUGCCCCUCCUUGUGUCCUCACGCGGGUCUGGCAGCGCCCUCCCCUAUGGGCAGGGGUCCGCUACGGCGGGGACAACGGCGGGCCGGCGGCGCCGCCAUGGACUAUUAGCACUUCUUCCCGGAAAGAUCGACCCCAUACCCCCACAACAAUGACGAGGAGAUGGGGACGGGCGGCGGAGGCGGCAAGUCCCUGUGCAGGUCGCUGGGACAACGCCAGAUAGAUCAGCUACGGCACCGCGAGGGAGGAGAGGCGGAGACACAUUAGCCACGGUGGGAAGAGAUCGGCGGGGUUCUCCGCCGAAAACAUGCCCAAGGUCAUUGUAUCCCUCGCCCAAAUCCUACCUCCAGGGUCGUGGCGGGAAUCGAAUUCCAACGCCCCCCAGCGUUCUGUAGCGCAGCGUCCUCCCGCAGAUUCCUCGGCAUGGACUCCCCAGGGACCGUUCUACAUCGUCCGGGAGAUCCUGUGCUUGAUUGGCAAGCGUUCCAUCUAUGGGAGCAAGUUGCUUAAAAAACCACAGAAUAUGUUCAUCUGACAAAAGAGCUUACCACCAUAUGUGAGAGCAUUGAGUGGCAGGUGGAUGAGUUGGAAAGAAAAUUUCAGGUGCAUCAACAGAAUCCAACAUUUGACUGACUCGAUGAAGUUGAACUCUCUAGACGACGGAACUGAACUAUCUUUUGCUCAUAAUCAGGAAAGUUGCUCUGGAGCUUGCUGGAAAAUGCGACAUUGCUGAUUUUGAUUCUCAGGUUAAGUCAGAGAAACUAGGCAUCAGGUUCGUGAGUGAUCCACUACCAUGGAGCAAAGAUGAUGUAUUAGGCAUGUGUUCUAUAUUCUAUAUCUGGCCUUCGAGUCCAUCGGCGCCGACGCUGCCGAGUGGUGGACACCCGCGUUUGAGUUCCGCAUCGACGCUCCGCUCCGCUCCACGCUUCACUUGCCGCAGGGGAGCUCCGCGAGGUCCAGAAUGAAUAUUGCUCCUAUGAUGCAACAGCGAGAGGCAUGGACGUCCGUCCAAAUGGACUCGUUCCUUGACAUGGUGCGCAAGUGCAAGGAGACAGAGAACUCCAAUUGUCCAUAAGUUUAGUGGGUCUGAGUUUUCUUUCUUGAUCGAUCGGAAGCCACGGUUCAGGUCGAUCGAUUCCCAAGCUACACUCUGAAUCAUAUGAAGGAUUGAUACAUAUUGACUUGAUUGUAUAUUUUUUUAUUGGAUUUUAAGGAGUGUUUGUGAAGUUCAUCCCCAGUUGGAUCUCACUGUGGGAACUUUGAAUGUUACAAUGGAGGGAGGGGCUAUUGCCAGUGCUAGCCGUGCGGCGGCGGCAAGUACAGACAAUGGUCGCUUGGAAAGAGUGGUGGAAGAGGACGAGGAUGUGGCUAAGACUCACGGCCUCCUAGACGAGAAGAUGACCCUGAUUAUGUAUGAGAAUUUCAUUUUUCCUGCCAUGUAUGUCGCGAUUUAGUUGGACAUGCCAACUUUGAUAUGAGCAACAAUGCAGGGUCUUGAGGGCAGCAGAGAGAAACUUGAGCGCGCAGAAGAGGGAGAGGAGUCACAAGCCGAUGCUACAUCGACGGGCAAGGUGGCAGUGGCUACAUCUACAAGUCAACAACCAUCGCCACCAAACGCCUUCUGCCACACUGCACGAACUCGCCUAUGCAUAGACCAUACCCACUUUGACUCCUCGCCCAUUUUAUUUUCACCAUCUUCUCUAUCGCUGGCAUUUUCCCCUGCCAGAUCUAUUUGCACGCUUAAGAAGACUGGUUUUUUUUUUGAUGAAGGUUCCCUUGUUGACUAAAUGCACCUAGAAAAUAUGGCUCUUAUUCUUCUUUGAACUAUCACUGUCACAGUAUGUGCUUCUGUUAUCCAAGCAACUCCAUGGUUGUUGGUGUUGCUCUCUUUUCUAGCCAGGUUCACCCUUAAGAAGACUCCAUGGUGGACAUACACUUUGAAGCAUAUUACAGAAUCAGAGCUAAUAUAAUCACGCACCACUAUCAUGACUGAAAUCUCUCCUUGAUUAUAAAUGUUUAUCUUCAGUACUAACCUUUUCUGUGACGCUGUCAGGGACUAUGAAAAGAUCCUCGUGACCUCACACUCAACAAGAACAAGUUGAAGGCAUAAUAAGUAUUCUAGGAAGCUAGGAGGAGUCGCCCCGCUCCCACCUGCAACCAGAAUCUGCCAAUAAAUGUGUAUUUCUAGGAUUUUUUUGCGUUUGG